rnacentral:sRNA from 1 species
AAAUCGCUACACAUUUUAUUCCAGCACCAAGCUUGCAGCUUUGUACUCAAGCUUGCAAAACACCCGACUCCAUUCUCUCCUCAUCAUGACAUUGUUGCUGAAGAAUAUGGCUCUGACAUCGAACGUGAGAGCUUGCCAACGUUAACUGGAGUACGCUCAUUGAUACUCGAUGCCACGCUUUGAAGUUCCUAUUAUAUAUAUAUUGAUGCUUUAUUCCCUCAAUUGAACCGCAUGAAGGUCCUGGGCGAGUUUUAUUACUAUAUAAAUACUUGAACGCCACAAUAUUGCACCCAUAAGAAAGCAAAUUUCUGUUAUUUUGCCCCAACGAAUUGAGAUUGCUUUCUCCUCACGAUGGUAUCAUUUGGGAACAUCAAAUUGUUGACAUACGUUCACACAUUCUCAACUUGAACUCGGUUCUACAGAUUGUUGGUUAUCUGUAGACUCCAUAUGCUAUUUGUCGGCUCAUCAUCCAUGAUGGUGUGGAUAGAAGGCAUAUACACGAAGAAUGGGCCUCAUAAUGACUUAUUUCUUGACACCC